rnacentral:rRNA from 1 species
AUACAGAGGGUGCAAGCGUUAAUGGGAAUUACUGGGCGUAAAGCGCGCGUAGGCGGUUUAAUCAGUCGGAUGUGAAAGCCCCGGGCUCAACCUGGGAACUGCAUUCGAUACUGUUAAGCUAGAGUAUGGUAGAGGGAAGUGGAAUUCCAGGUGUAGCGGUGAAAUGCGUAGAUAUCUGGAGGAACAUCAGUGGCGAAGGCGACUUCCUGGACCAAUACUGACGCUGAGGUGCGAAAGCGUGGGUAGCGAACGGGAUUAGAUACCCUAGUAGUCC